rnacentral:rRNA from 1 species
AUGCAGCUCUGGACCCUGGAGGGGGCGGUGGACGCGCUCGGCGAUUAGGUCAUCAUCGACCGGCUUGACAGUCGCACUUUUGAGCGGGCUGACACGAAGACUUUCGCUGUCUGGGUGUGGGUGUGGGAGCUGCACCACAUCCCCACCAGGGGGACGCUCUGGAAGCACGCGUGGGGUGCGGGCAGGGUGGAGGAGAUGCUUGGCUUCUCUCCGCCGAGCCGCGUCGUCGCGCCGCCGCCGACCCUGCUCAGGUGGGACAUCUUGGUCCACAUCGACCACAUCAAGGACUGGUCCCCUCUAUCCCCGCGGUCCUCCCACUCGGGACAGAGCGGCCUCCCCUCCUCGGACGACGAUGACGACCGCCCAUUCCCGCGUCGCCCUCCCGCCGGCGGCUGGAUGCACGGGAUCGAAGACGGGCGCGUAGUGCAGGACCUGGGCGCGGGUGCGGGCCGUGCCCGCCCCCAGGCGCAGGUGGUGUCAACGGGCUGCAGAGGCAUGCCCUUGACGGGCGCCAGGCGCGGUCACGACGGCGAGGGCGGUGGCGGCCAGAGGCGGUCCUAG